rnacentral:lncRNA from 1 species
CUUACAUUGAUAGUAUCCCCAGAAGAGCUCUGUCUAUUGCGUGAUAAGACCUCAGCCAGAGAAAUUUGGGACGCUCUGAGAGAGGCUCACUUAAGGACAGAAGCUGGAUCCACUAUGUUUUAUUUUAACAAGCUGCAUAAUAUGGCUCUUGCUGAAGGUGGAGAUGUGCGUUUACAUCUAAUGGAGAUGCAAAAUCUCAGACAUGAGCUGCAACAGAGAGGACUCAACUUUCCAGAGGCUGUGUAUUCUUUCAUGAUACUACAAUCUUUGGGUUCAGGUUGGGAGUCUGUUGCAACCCAGAUUGCUGUGCAACCAACUGCUCAGCUGACAGUGGACUUUGUUACUGCCGUGAUUUUAAAUGAAGCAGAUCGCCGGGGUGCUGGCUGCAUGGGCAAGGGGGAGUCUUCACAGACGUCAUCCCAUAGUGCAGUGGAACCACCAGAUGGCGCCAAAGCUUUGGAGGCAGUGAAAUGCUACUCGUGUGGACGUCUAGGCCAUAUGAAGAGGGAAUGCAGACAUCCCAGGGCCAAGACAGAGCAGCGCAGCGAAAGCUCAUCGCGCGGAAAAGGCCGAGGCAAAGGCAAAGGUCCGGUGUCUAGGACAACGCAGCACAAGGCUAUGGUUUCACGCUUCACUCCAAAGGUUGCAAAGGUCCAGAAGACGUCUAGAUCUUUCUUCGUUGUUGAUUCAGCGGCCACCCACCACAUGUGCAACGAUAAGAAACUGUUUGUGUCUUUUACACCGCAGGAAGGUGCGAUUCACCAGGCGGAUGACCACACUAUUCCCAGUAAAGGCUACGGAACUGUUGUUCUUCACAGUUUGGACUUAUCGAUACAGAAUGUGCUUUACGUGCCAGACGCCAAACAUAAUCUGCUCAGCGUUGGACAGCUGAAUGAGCGGAACAUUGACGUUUCCUUCAAGAACAAGAAGUGCAUCAUCACAAAGAAAAAUGAUUAUGUAUUGCAUGCAGAAUAUGUUGAUCAUUUGUUUGUUUUGUAUUAUGAUGAUGUGGUGCAGGAUGAUACUUGUUGCAUUGCAGGUUCUAACAAAAGUUUGCAUGCAGAAUGUAUUCACGAUUUUCAUCGCAAAUUUGGUCAUUUGCAUUUUGAGGCAGUAUCUAAAAUGCCUGCCUUGGUUGAAGGUAUGACUAUUAAACCCUGCAGGUACCACAUGAAGUGCAAAGCAUGCGCAGCAAACAAAGUGAAAAUGGCUGCGAAAGGUAAGGUGUCUAGUAGGAAAGCUACAGAACCAUACCAGGUUGUUCAUGCUGAUUUGGUUGGACCAUUAGCACCCUCUUUGGGUGGAAAUAGAUACUUCAUGGUUCUCAUUGAUGCAUUUUCUAGAUAUAUUUUUGUGUACAAUCUCAAGCAGAAAUCGGAGGCUUUUCCUAGGUUCAAGGAAUUCUGUGCUUGGUUGGAAAAUGUGCAUGGUAAGAAGAUAAAGACUCUUUUCAGUGAUCGCGGGGGAAUUCACUUCUCAGCAGUUUGAAGCUUUUCUGACUGAGAAAGGAAUUCAACACGAUUUGUCUAGUCCUCGCCGCCAUGGCAGAAUGGACUUGCGGAACGGGCAAAUCAGACUUUGCUUCAAGGGUUAAAAACCUUGCUGCAUGAUGCCAAUCUUCCAGAGAGUUAUUGGGCCGAAUCUCUCUCGUGUUUUGUUUACAGUUACAAUCGCAGGUUAUCUUCAGCGAUCGGUUGUACCCCCUAUGAGAAGAUGUUUGGCAAGAAGCCAUACAUCAAACACAUGAAGAUUUUUGGUUCUGACAUGUGGGUUCGCUCACCACAAAACUCCAAGUUAGACAAGCGUGGAUUGCAUGGUAUCUUUCUAGGUUAUCAGAAAGGGUCUUACAGAAUAAUGAUGACUGACUCUAAGACAAUUAAGCUCACGAGAAGUGUUGAGUACAAUGCAAAGUGGGGGAGAAUGUGGGAAUUUUCCAAUGUUAUCCUGAUGACGGUGAUGAGACUGAGGAUAGUCAAAAGCAACCACAACAGCCCACACCCACUGAUGAAGGUUCUGAGUCUGAAUCUGAAACUGAAUCGGGUGAUUCAGAGGAUUUCAAGAGUGCGGAAGCCUCUAUGCGACCCUCUGAAAGCUCUGAUCAAGAAUUGGAGGAACCAUUGUUCACAAUAGGUCGUUUUUCUCCUAAGAAGGAAGAGGAGAGUGUUGAAGACUUAAGGCUAAUUCGUAGGUCACAGAGAGUCACAAAAGGCAAACCUCCAAAGAGAUUUGCUGAUGAGUUUGCUAAGAUAGCAGUAACAGCUGUUAAAAGCUCCAAGAAGGUAUUUGAACCUUCAAGUUUCCAAGAAAUCCAGGGUUUGGAUUCAAAGGAAGCUGAGCCAUGGUUAAAUGCCAUGAAGGCUGAGCUUGAUUCCUUAGAAAGGAACAAAACAUGGGAGCUAGUUCCAGUAGUUCCAGGAAUGAAACUGCUUGGAAGCAAAUGGGUCUUCAAAGCGAAGACAGAUCAAAAUGGCAAGAUAGUCAGACACAAAGCCAGAUUGGUAGCCAGAGGUUUUGCACAGGUACCAGGUGAAGACUAUCACGAGACCUAUUCACCCACAGUGAGAUAUGAAAGCAUUAGGCUUAUGCUUAAGCUAGCUGCAGAGGAAAAUCUACACAUUAGUCACCAUGAUAUUAAUACAGCUUUUCUGUACGGAUCUCUAGAUGAAUCACUUUAUAUGCUUCCACCUGAUGGCGUACAGGUAAAACAGGGAUUUGUUUGUGCUCUGAAGAAAUCCCUUUAUGGUCUCAAACAAAGUGCACGGUGUUGGCACACAAAACUCACUGAAGUAUUGUUUUCUCUAGGUUUUCAGCAAGGGAAAGCUGAUCCAUGUGUAUUUGUCAAAGAGGAGGGGCAAAAGAAACUGUACUGUUUGUUUUAUGUUGAUGAUUUAUUAUUCUUUUGGAAAGAUGUUGCAAUGUACAAUAGCGCCCUAGCUCAACUGAAAGAGCACUUUGACACGAAAGAUCUUGGUGAGGUAAACAACUACCUAUCUCUGGAAAUAGAGAGAGAUCAAGAUGGUAACAUUCUAGUACACCAGUCACGGAAAAUUGCUGAUGUGUUAAGCAAACUAAAUCUGAUGGAUGCUAACCCUGUAAACACACCGAUGACAACAGGUUAUCAGGUAGAUGACACUGAAGAAGCAUUUUCUGACACUACACUGUACAGGAGUGUGCUAGGCAAGCUAAACUUCAUUGCCAGAUGUUCAAGACCAGACAUUGCUGUUAGCUGUAAUUUGCUAAGCAGACAAGUCAACAAUCCUAGUGUCAAGGAUUGGAAAGCUCUGAAACGCAUAGCGCGGUAUUUGAAAGGCACUAUGCAUUACAGACUGAGAUUUAACAAUCAGAAGUCUGGUGGUCUUGAGAUAUUUGCAGAUGCAAGUUUUGGAAGUGACGCUACAGACAGGAAAAGUACGUCUGGAGUUUGCUACAUGUACAAUCAGGGUCUUUUUGAUUGGUCAUGCAAGAAGCAAACAACAGUUAGCUUAAAUACUUGUGAAGCCGAACUGAAUGCACUGUCUUAUUCACUUAAGGAUUGUGAAUGGUUAGUACAAUUGUGCAAAGAUAUGAAAAUUCCUGUCAAAUGUCCAAUCCAGGUUUACCAGGACAACAAAGCAUGUUUGGCUUUGCUGAAGUCUGAAGGUUGUAAGCUAAAGCACAAAGCACUUGCAAUUAAAGUUGCAGCAUGCUAGGGAAUGUAUUCAGAAGGGACUCGUAACGGUGUCCUAUAUGCCAGGUAAUGAAAUUCCUGCUGAUGUAUUGUCCAAGAUUGUAUCAAGGGAUCAACACUGUACCUAUGUGCAGAAGUUGGGUUUGUACUGAUAUUGUGCAAACACGCUGCCCAGUGAUGUUCACAGAAAGGAGGAGGAUGUUGGUUUCUAUUUCCUCACUGAGCAGCAACUGCAGUCACAAGACAUUGUUUUACAUUCCACAGUCUGUACUGUUGGAGUUUCUCACGGGAAAGGGAGACUGGAUGUGACGUACACUGGUUUCCUGUUUUUCACUGUGUGAUUCUCUCCAAGCUGUCGAGGAGAGAGGAUGCAUUUUUCUGCUCCUGCAGACGCAAGAUGUCUUUCUGUAAUAUACCAGCUUUGAACUGUAAAUAAAGCAAUAUAGAGUAUGGAGCACAUUUUCCUCAUCCUUCCGCUGGGCACGACAGACUCUGCUUUAAAUCAACACGCAGAACAUUCAACAAUGGAGGCCUGGGCAAGGGGGCAGGGCUGGAAAGGGACCCAGCGAUCAACCACACAUUCGCUCCAUAAGAUGCACAGACAUUUACAGACAUUUCCCCUUACUUUUUAGGAGGGAAAAGGUGUGUCUUAUGGAACGAAAAAUACGGUAGUUGCACCACGAAAUCUUUCUUCAAGCGCCUGCUCACACUCCCUCCUUCCGUAUGGCGCUGGCAUUUGGCAGAUGGGGAGGGUUUUACAGAUAGGAGGCACUCUUCAUCCCUCAUGAAAACAAAGGCGAAAUGAGGCAAAUUGUAUCAGCUCAUUUCUUUUCCUCCAACUGCCUCUUACGCUGCAAUCGCUCCAUUUCCCAGUUGCAUGCCGGGAGAUAACUAACAAGACAAAUGGGAUGAUGUUAGCUGUCUUAUUCCUGAUACUGUCUGAUGCUAGCCUGCAUUGUUCAAAUUAAUUAAUGCCACAUCAUUAUCUUUAGAUGGCAGGCAGAUGUUGGGGUUAUGCUUGUUGUGAACCUUGAACACUUCUACUUCACAGAUCAAGAGCAGUUGCUUUAUAACAGAGAAAUCAAGGUCUAGGCCUACUGGCAGCGAGUUGGUUUGGUAAUUAUCUUAGUAAUAGGCCUCCGUUAUUAUGCAGUGAAGGUCCUCUUUCCUCUGCUGAUGGGUCAUGGCAAACCCGCGGGAUCCAUAUAUGGUCCAGUUCUAAUUUCUCCCCUGUAAAUGACUUGCCAUCUGUCAGCCGUUCAAGUUCACCUAUUGCCAUUCCAGAAACACCAAUAAAUUAAUUGCAGACUUGCAGGUUCAACUAAGAUCAUAAAAUUGAUUUAGGCUGUGAUUUUUUUGUCGUCCCCUCACCAUCACCAAAAAAAAGAGAGGCAAAGCUGAGCUGCUAAAAAUAAUCAAGCAUAUUUGGCCAGGAAAUGAAGUUCAGGACAUUUUAUAUUGGUUUGCAAUCGAGGUGGUUUCUAUUUUGAUAAAAAGUCUGAUUUAAUGGGUAAAUCUGAUGCCCAUCCAAUUUGCAGAAUCUAAAUCCUUCUGCUAUCUUUCCUUUUGCUGAGUGAUGUUGGAGACGUCUGGAGAAUGUGUGUGGAAGUCGUUUACAGUGGUAUCUUGUUGUUUUCUGUAUUUGGGUUGCUGUCAGUGGGUAACACAGUCCUGGUGUUCUUGCUAGAUUUUGCAGGAUCCAUGAGAUACAGGGUCAGGGUGUUAUGUAUUGAAGUUCUCACCCUGGGCCAGCAGGGGGGAUACUGUAGAUAGUUUUCACUCAGGUCCGCAUAUGCAAAUAAGGAAUUGAAAGUGAAGUUCAGUGAUUGGAUAGUUACAGAAAGUUGUUACUGUUGCUUUGGUAGUUGAGCUCUAUAUAAGCAGGUUGGCUGAACCCUUCAGCUCAGUUCUGCGCCUGUGAAUAAACAAGAGCUGUUUGAAGAAUCGCUGUGUGGUCUGAUAUGUUCACCAACAACUUAACACAGGGGUUCUUGCAUAUGUGAAUAUUGAUAUGCUACUGGGGGGACAUUUCCAGACCACAGUGGCACAAUAAACAGCAUUGCCUCCGACAGCCGUAGCAGCAGUAAUAUCCGUUGUGCUCAAACUAAAAGGCUCUCAAUCGAUUUGGUGAGCUCUUAUAUGUAGGAAUUGGGGUGAAAGGGAGCCUCUUCGAUAAUCAAUACAAGAGAUACAGCUUUUCAGAGAAAAGAUCAAAGCUUUGCAGCCCACCGUGCUGGGUGGAAGGUUGAGGAACGGCCUCUCCAGGAAAUCUACUCUUAUGCACAAUAACCGUGCAGAGUACGUCUUAUCCAAAGGCAGAAUAGGGACAAAAAGAUACAGGGAGAAAUCCUAUGCACAAGAAGCAGGCCAGAACGCUUCCGAGCACAAUACAAAGUGUUGGUGCUGACCUUUAAAGCCCUAAACUGUUGGUUUCUAUUUCCCUCACUGAGCAGCAACUGCAGUCACAAGACAUUGUUUUGCAUUCCACAGUCUGUACUGUUGGAGUUUCUCACGGGAAAGGGAGACUGGAUGUGACGUACACUGGUUUCCUGUUUUUUCACUGUGAUUCUCUCCAAGCUGUUGAGGAGAGAGGAUGCAUUUUUCUGCUCCUGAAGAGGCAAGAUGUCUUUCUGUAAUAUACCAGCUUUGAACUGUAAAUAAAAGCAAUAUAUGGAGUAUGCAGCACAUUUUCCUCAUCCUUCCGCUGGGCACGACAGACUCUGCUUAAAUCAACACGUGGUUAUGGGCUCCAGAGGACGGAUCGGAAUGCAGAGGGACGGAUCGGAAAGGAAUCUGCUCUGCGCGUAGAAGUGAUUGAUGAGGUAUGUGCUACUGCUCCGGGCAGCCUGCCAGCUUCAAGUUAAUGGCUUUAUGGCUGGACUUUGAACUUUUAAAGCCGGUUUUGACGGGAAUAGGCAAAAGGCUCCCAGGCACAAGUCACUAUGCUGGGGAAAUCGAAAGUAACUUUUAAGUGUGCUUUUGGAUAAGGCAGCUGCAGCAGUGACGCAGCAAGAUUUAAAGCAGCAUAUGACGCUGAAGGCUAAUGCCAGAGUUAUGAUGGCCCUUCAGGAUGCUUGUGGGAUUCCUAAGCUCAACAAGAAAAAUUACAGCGACUGGGUUCAGUAUGCAGAGGCAAUUCUGCGGAAAGAGGGUUUGUUUGAGGUGAUUACAGGAACCCCCCCAGUUCCAGUUACAGAUGCAUGGGAAGCUAAGGAUUCCAAAGCAAGGGGAACUCUUACAUUGAUAGUAUCCCCAGAAGAGCUCUGUCUAUUGCGUGAUAAGACCUCAGCCAGAGAAAUUUGGGACGCUCUGAGAGAGGCUCACUUAAGGACAGAAGCUGGAUCCACAAUGUUUUAUUUUAACAAGCUGCAUAAUAUGGCUCUUGCUGAAGGUGGAGAUGUGCGUUUACAUCUAAUGGAGAUGCAAAAUCUCAGACAUGAGCUGCAACAGAGAGGACUCAACUUUCCAGAGGCUGUGUAUUCUUUCAUGAUACUACAAUCUUUGGGUUCAGGUUGGGAGUCUGUUGCAACCCAGAUUGCUGUGCAACCAACUGCUCAGCUGACAGUGGACUUUGUUACUGCCGUGAUUUUAAAUGAAGCAGAUCGCCGGGUGCUGGCUGCAUGGGCAAGGGGGAGUCUUCACAGACGUCAUCCCAUAGUGCAGUGGAACCACCAGAUGGCGCCAAAGCUAUGAAGGCAGUAAAAUGCUACUCGUGUGGACGUCUAGGCCAUAUGAAGAGGGAAUGCAGACAUCCCAGGGCCAAGACAGAGCAGCGCAGCGAAAGCUCAUCGCGCGGAAAAGGCCGAGGCAAAGGCAAAGGUCCGGUGUCUAGGACAACGCAGCACAAGGCUAUGGUUUCACGCUUCACUCCAAAGGUUGCAGAGGUCCAGAAGACGUCUAGAUCUUUCUUCGUUGUUGAUUCAGCGGCGACCCACCACAUGUGCAACGAUAAGAAACUGUUUGUGUCUUUUACACCGCAGGAAGGUGCGAUUCACCAGGCGGAUGACCACACUAUUCCCAGUAAAGGCUACGGAACUGUUGUUCUUCACAGUUUGGACUUAUCGAUACAGAAUGUGCUUUACGUGCCAGACGCCAAACAUAAUCUGCUCAGCGUUGGACAGCUGAAUGAGCGGAAC